rnacentral:snRNA from 1 species
AUACUUACCUGGUGCCUAGGCCUCGUUGAUCACCGUGUACCAGCUCCCAGGGCGAGGCGCGGGCUUUGCACUGCGCUGCACUGGCACAGCGCUUGGCACUGCGCUGACACCUGCCACUACCCAAACUGGGGCAGAUGGAGCAUGCAAAUUGCUUAAGUCGGGUACAAAGCAAGAAAGGGCGCCACCGC